rnacentral:rRNA from 1 species
GCAAGUCGAGCGGAAACGACACUAACAAUCCUUCGGGUGCGUUAAUGGGCGUCGAGCGGCGGACGGGUGAGUAAUGCCUAGGAAAUUGCCUUGAUGUGGGGGAUAACCAUUGGAAACGAUGGCUAAUACCGCAUAAUGCCUUCGGGCCAAAGAGGGGGACCUUCGGGCCUCUCGCGUCAGGAUAUGCCUAGGUGGGAUUAGCUAGUUGGUGAGGUAAUGGAUCAACAAGGCGACGAGCCCUAGCUGGUCUGAGAGGAUGAUC